AGGGAAAGAUGGCGGUAGGCCUAACACAUGCAAGUCGAACGGCAGCACAGUAAGAGCUUGCUCUUACGGGUGGCGAGUGGCGGACGGGUGAGGAAUACAUCGGAAUCUACUUUUUCGUGGGGGAUAACGUAGGGAAACUUACGCUAAUACCGCAUACGACCUACGGGUGAAAGCAGGGGAUCUUCGGACCUUGCGCGAUUGAAUGAGCCGAUGUCGGAUUAGCUAGUUGGCGGGGUAAGGGCCCACCAAGGCGACGAUCCGUAGCUGGUCUGAGAGGAUGAUCAGCCACACUGGAACUGAGACACGGUCCAGACUCCUACGGGAGGCAGCAGUGGGGAAUAUUGGACAAUGGGCGCAAGCCUGAUCCAGCCAUACCGCGUGGGUGAAGAAGGCCUUCGGGUUGUAAAGCCCUUUUGUUGGGAAAGAAAAGCAGCAGGUUAAUACCCCGCUGUUCUGACGGUACCCAAAGAAUAAGCACCGGCUAACUUCGUG
rnacentral:rRNA from 1 species